UGGGGCGCGGGGCAUGACGGGAGAUGAAGUCCCGGCCAGAAUAGCGCUCGAUGUGCGCCGCGGAGCAUGAUGGGAGCGGCAGCGGGAAGCGGGAGCGGAAAAGCAGAGGAGAAACUGCGCGGCUCCGGCGAUCCCUGAAUUCGCAGCCCCCCGGGACCAUCGCUCCCCAUCCCGCAGCUGGAAGGAGGAGUGGGAUUCAUCUGAACAUUCUAGAAGCUGGAAUAGGACCAGGCCAUCUACCUUACCAAAAAUCUUGACCAGCUCAUCUGCAAUUCCACCUUUCCCCACUCCCUGGAUUCCCAGAUCUGGAAAUUCUUCUACGACCUCCAAGAUUUCCCAUUCCCAAACCUUGGCCGGAUGGAGAAGGAGGCUGUGAGGAAGAAGAAGAUGCUCCAGGACACCCAGGCAG